GACAGAGGGUGCCAACGUUGCUCGGAAUUACUGGGCGUAAAGCGCGUGUAGGCGGUGCGAUCAGUCGGGUGUGAAAGCCCCGGGCUCAACCCGGGAAGCGCCCUCGAUACUGUCGCGCUGGGGUCUUGAAGAGGAGAGCGGAAUUCCCGGUGUAGAGGUGAGAUUCGUAGAUAUCGGGAGGAACACCAGUGGCGAAGGCGGCUCUCUGGGCAAUGACCGACGCUGAGACGCGAAAGCGUGGGGAGCAAACAGG
rnacentral:rRNA from 1 species